rnacentral:rRNA from 1 species
GCCCAGACUCCUACGGGAGGCAGCAGUGGGGAAUAUUGCACAAUGGGGGAAACCCUGAUGCAGCGACGCCGCGUGAGUGAAGAAGUAUUUCGGUAUGUAAAGCUCUAUCAGCAGGGAAGAAGAAGGACGGUACCUGAGUAAGAAGCCCCUGCUAACUACGUGCCAGCAGCCGCGGUAAUACGUAGGGGGCAAGCGUUAUCCGGAUUUACUGGGUGUAAAGGGGGCGCAGACGGCAGCGCAAGCCAGGAGCGAAAGCCCGGGGCCCAACCCCGGGACUGCUCUUGGAACUGCGCGGCUGGAGUGCAGGAGGGGCAGGCGGAAUUCCUGGUGUAGCGGUGAAAUGCGUAGAUAUUAGGAGGAACACCAGUGGCGAAGGCGGCCUGCUGGACGAUGACUGACGCUGAGGCUCGAAAGCGUGGGGAGCAAACAGGAUUAGAUACCCGCGUACAC